rnacentral:rRNA from 1 species
GACGAACGCUGGCGGCGUGCCUAAUACAUGCAAGUCGAGCGGAGUUCAUCCUUCGGGAUGAGCUUAGCGGCGGACGGGUGAGUAACACGUAGGCAACCUGCCCGUAAGACGGGGAUAACUACCGGAAACGGUAGCUAAUACCGGAUACACAGCUUCCUCGCAUGAGGGAACUGGGAAAGACGGAGCAAUCUGUCACUUACGGAUGGGCCUGCGGCGCAUUAGCUAGUUGGUAGGGUAACGGCCUACCAAGGCGACGAUGCGUAGCCGACCUGAGAGGGUGAACGGCCACACUGGGACUGAGACACGGCCCAGACUCCUACGGGUGGCUG